AAAUUAUGAUGUGGACAUCUCCUUAGGAGUUCUCCAAAGCGCUCAUACGUCUCAAACAAAGAUUUAGACUCAUAUUAUUGAAAAUUGGAGAUCUCUAUCAUCAGUUU